rnacentral:rRNA from 1 species
UUAAAUUGAAGAGUUUGAUCAUGGCUCAGAUUGAACGCUGGCGGCAGGCUUAACACAUGCAAGUCGAACGGUAACAGGAAGAAGCUUGCUUCUUUGCUGACGAGUGGCGGACGGGUGAGUAAUGUCUG